UACGGGGGGGGCAAGCGUUGUUCGGAAUUACUGGGCGUAAAGGGCUUGUAGGUGGCCAACUAAGUCAGACGUGAAAUCCCUCGGCUUAACCGGGGAACUGCGUCUGAUACUGGAUGGCUGGAGUAUGGCAGAGGGAGGUGGAAUUCCACGUGUAGCGGUGAAAUGCGUAGAGAUGUGGAGGAACACCGAUGGCGAAGGCAGCCUCCUGGGCCAAUACUGACGCUCAUGCACGAAAGCGUGGGGAGCAAACAGG
rnacentral:rRNA from 1 species